GGUCUGUUAGUAUCUGAGGAGGUAGGAUCUGGUACAGGUAUGAUGAUCUGGGUCUGUCAAGUCUGAGGAGGUAGGACCUGGCCCUGGUAUACGGAUCUGGGUCUCUUCAUGUCUGAGGAGGUAGGAAUCUGUUACAGGCAUGAGGAUCUGGGUCUGUCAAUGUCUGAGGAGGUAGGACCUGGCCCUGGUAUGCGUAACUGAGUCUCUUCAUGUCUGCAGAGGUAGGGUCUGGGUCUGUCCCUGUCUGAGGAGGUAGGAUCUGGCAUAAAUAGGAGGAUCUGGGUCUUUCAGUGUCUGAGAAGGUAGGAUCUGGCCCUGAUAGGAAGAUGAGGAUCUGAGACUGUCAAUAUCUGAGGAGGUAGGAUCUGGGUGCGGGUAUAAGAAUCUGGAACUGUCAGUAUCUGAGGAGGUAGGAUCUGGCCUUGGUAUGAGGAUCUGGGUCUUUCAAUAUCGGAGGAGGUACAAAUCUGGUACAGGUAUGAAGAUCUGGGUCUCUCCAUGUCUGGAGGUAGAAUCUGGUACAAGUGUGAGGAUCUGGGUCUGUCUAUGUCUGAGGAGGUAGGAAUCUGAUACAGGUAUGAGGAUCUGGGUCUGUCCAUGUCUGAGAAGGUAGGAUCUGGCCCUGGUAUGAGGCUUAUGAGGAUUUGGGUCUGUCAGUGUCUGAGAAGAUAGGAUCUGGGUGCGGGUACAGGUGUGAGGAUCUGGGUCUGUCAGUGUCUGAGGAGGUAGGAUCUGGUACAGGUGUGAGGAUCUGGGUCUCUCUAUGUCUGAACAGGUAGGAUCUGGUACAAGCGUGAGGAUCUGGGUCUGUCCGUGUCUGAGGAGGUAGGAUCUGGAGCAAGUAUAAGGAUCUGGGUCUUUUAAUGUCUGAGAAGGUAGGAUCUGGCACUGGUAUGAGGAUCUGAGUCUUUCAAUAUUUGAAGAGGUAGGAAUCUAGUACAGGUAUGAGGAUCUGGGUCUCUCCAUGUCUGAGGAGGGAGGAAUCUGUUACAGGCAUGAGGAUCUGGGUCUGUCAGUGUGUGAAGAGUACUGUCUGGCCCUGGUAUGAUGAUCUGUGUCUCCCCAUGUCUGAGGAGGUAGGAUCUGGAUCUCUCCGUGUCUGAGGAGGUAGGAUCUGGCAUGAGUAUGAGGCUCUGGGUAUGUCCAUGUCUGUGGAGGUAGGAUCUGGAGCAGGUAUAAGGAUCUGGGUCUUUCAAUGUCUGAGAAGGUAGGAUCUGACCCUGGUAUAAGGAUCUGGGUCUGUCAGUAUCUGAGGAGGUAGGAUCUGGGUGCAGGUAUAAGAAUCUGGUACGGUCAGUAUCUGCGGAGGUAGGAUCUGGGUGCCGGUAUAAGGAUCUGGAUCUGUCAGUAUCUGAGGAGGUAGGAUCUGGCCCAGGUAUGAGGAUCUGAGUCUGUCCAUGUCUGAGGAGGCAGGAUCUGGUACAGGUAUGAAGAUCUGGUUCUCUCCAUGUCUCAGGAAGUAGCAUCUGGUACAGGUAUGAGGAUCUGGGUAUGUCCAUGUCUGAGGAGUUAGGAAUCUGGUACAGAUAGGAGCAUCUGGGUGUGUUCGUGUCUGAGGAGGUAGGAUUUGGUGCAUGUAUUAGGAUCUGGGUCUGUCCAUGUCUGAGGAGGUCGCAUCUGGCACGGAUAUCAGGAUCUAGGUAUUUUAAUGCCUGAGAUGGUAGGAUCUGGCCCUCGUUUGAGGAUCUGGGUCUUUCAGUAUCUGAGGAAGUAGGAAUCUGGUACAGGUAUGAGGAUCUGGGUCUGUCAAUGUCUGAGGAGGUAGGAACUGGCCCUGGUAUACGGAUCUGGGGUCUCUUCAUGUCUGAGGAGGUAGGAAGCUUACAGUCAUGAGGAUCUGGAUCUGUCAAUGUCUGAGGAGGUAGGACCUGGCCCUGGUAUGCGGAUCUGGGUCUCUUCAUAUUUGAGAAGGUAGGAUCUGGGUCUGUCCAUGUCUGUGGUGUCUGUGGAGGUAGGAUCUGGUGCAGAUAUAAGGAUCUGGUCUUUCAGUGUCUGAGAAGGUAGGAUCUGGCCUUGGUACAAGGAUUUGGGUCUGUCAAUAUCUGAGUAGGUACGAAUCUAGUACAGGUAUGAGGAUCUGGGUCUCUCCAUCUCUGAGGAAGUAGCAUCUGGUACAGGUAUGAGGAUCUGGGUCUGUCUGUGUCCAAGGAGGUAGGAUCUGGUACAGGUGUGAAGAUCUGGGUCUGUCUAUAUCUGAGGAGGUAGGAUCUGGCCCUGGUAUGGGGAUCUGGGUCUGUCCAUGUCUGAGAAGGUAGGAUCUGGCCCUGGUAUGAGGCUUAUGAGGAUUUGGGUCUGUCAGUAUCUGAGGAGGCAGGAUCUGGGUGCAGGUACAGGUAUGAGAAUGUGGGUCUGUCAUUGUCUAAGGAGGUAGGAUUUAGCCCCAGUAUGAGGAUCGGGGUCUGUUCAUGUCUGAGAAGGUAGGAUCUGACUCUGAUAUGAGGAUUACAAGCAUCUGGGUCUCUCAGUAUCCGAUGAGGUAGGAUCUGGGUGCGGGUAUAAGGAUCUGGAUCUCUCAGUAUCUGAGGAGGUAGGAUCUGGCCCUGGUAUGAGGAUCUGAGUCUGUAAAUGUCUGAGGAGGUAGGAUCUGGUACAGGUGUGGGGAUCUGGGUCUCUAUGUCUGAAUAGGUAGGAUCUGGUACAUGUAUUAGGAACUUGGUCUGCCCAUGUCUGAGGAGGUAGGACCUGGCCCUGGUAUGAGGAUCUGGGUCUCUUCAUGUCUACGGAGGUAGGAUCUGGGUCUGUCCAUGUCUUAGGAGGUAGGAUCUGGCCUGAGUAUGAGGAUCUGGCUCUGUCCAUGUCUGCGGAGGUAGGAUUUGGUGCAGAUAUAAGCAUCUGGGUCUUUUAAUGUCUGAAAAGGUAGGCUCUGGCCUUGGUGUGAGGAUCUGGGUCUAUUAAUAUCUAAGGAGGUACGAAUCUAGUACAGGUAUGAGGAUCUGGGUCUCUCCAUGUCUGAGAAGAUUGACUGUAGUACAGGUAUGAGGAUCUGGGUCUGUCAGUGUCUGAGGAGGUAGGAUUUGGCCCUGGUGUGAGGAUUUGGGUCAGUCAGUGUCAGGAGUUAGGAUCUGGCCCUGUUAUGAGGAUCUGGGUCUGUUCAUGUCUGAGAUGGUAGGAUCUGGCCCAUUAGGAUUUUGAGGAUAUGGGUCUGUCAGUAUCUGAAGAGGUAGUAUCUGGGUGCGGGUAUAAGGAUCUGUAUCUGUCAGUAUCUGAGGAGGUAGGAUCUGGCCCUGAUAUGAGGAUCUGAGUCUGUCAAUUUCUGAGGAGGUAUGAUCUGGUACAGGCAUGAGAAUCUGGGUCUGUCCAUGUCUGAGGAGGUAAGAUCUGGCACAGAUAUAAGGAUCUGGGUCUGUUCAUGUCUCAGGAGGUAGGACGGCGCAAUUAUAGGGAUCUGGGUCUAUCAAUGUCUGAGAAUGUAGCAUCUGGCUCUAGUAUGGGGAUCUGGGUCUUUCAAUAUCUGAGGAGGUAGGAAUCUGGUACAGGUAUGAAGAUCUGGGUCUCCUCACGACUGAGGAGGUAGGAGUCUGUUACAGGCAUGAAGAUCUGGGUCUGUCAAUGUGUGAGGAGGUAAGAUCUCUUCCUGAUAUGACAAUCUGGGUCUGUCAGUGUUUGAGGAGGUAGGAAUCUGGUACACGUAUGAGGAUCUGCAUCUGUCAAUGUCUGAGGAGGUAGGACCUGGCCCUGGUAUGAGGAUCUGGGUCUCUCCAUGUCUGAGGAGUAGGAUCUGGAUGUGCCCGUGUCUGAGGAGGUAGGAUCUGGCAUGAGUAUGAGGAUCUGGAUCUGUCCAUGUCUGCAGAGGUAGGAUCUGGAGCAGGUAUAAGGAUCUGGGUCUUUCAAUGUCUGAGAAGGUACGAUCUGGCCCUGGUAUGAGGAUCUGGGUCUUUCAAUAUCUGAGGAGGUAGGAAUCUAGUAUUGGUAUGAGGAUCUGGGUCUUUCCGUGUCUGAGGAGGUUGGAUCUGGUACAGGUAUGAGGAUCUGGGUCUGUUCAUGUCUGAGAAGGUAGGAUCUGGCCCAGUAAGAUUAUGAGGAUCUGAGUCUGUCAGUAUCUGAGGGGGUAGGAUCUGGCCCUGGUAUGAGGAUCUGGAUCUGUCAGUAUCUGAGGAGGUACGGAUCUAGUACAGGUGUGAAGAUCUGGGUCUGUCUAUGUCUGAGGAGGUAGGAAUCUGGUACAGGUAUGAGGAUCUGGGACUGUCAGUGUCUGAGGAAGCAGGAUCUGGCCCUGGUAUGAGGAUCUGGGUCUGUCCAUGUCUGAGAAGGUAGGAUGUGGCCCUGGUUUGAGGCUUAUGACGAUCUGGGACUGCCAGUAUCUGAGGAGGCAGGAUCUGGCCCUUGCAUGAGGAUCUGUGUCUGUCAAUGUCUGAGAAGGCAGGAUCUGGUACAGGUGUUAGGAUUUGGGUCUCUCCGUGUCUGGAGGUAGGAUCUGAUACAGAUGUAAGGAUCUGGGUCUGUCCAUCUCUGAGGAGGUAGGAUCUGGUACAAGUAUGAGGAUCUGGGUCUCUCCAUGUGUGAGAAGGUAGGAAUCUGGUACAGAUACAAGGAUCUGGGUCUGUUUAGGUAGGAUCAUGUCUGAGGAGGUAGGAUUUGGUGUGGGUAUUAGGAUCUGGGUCUGUCCAUGUCUGAGGAGGUAGGAUGUGGCACAAAUAGAAGGAUUUGGGUCUAUCAGUGUCUGAAAAGGUAGGAUCUGGCCCUGGUAUAAGGAUCUGGGUCUUUCAAUAUCUGAGGAGGUAGGAAUCUGGUACAGGUAUGAAGAUCUGGGUCUCUGUAUGUCUGUGGAGAUAGGAAUCUGUUACAGGCAUGAGGAUCUGGGUCUGUCAAUGUGUGAGGAGAUAAGAUCUGGCCCUGGUAUAAGGAUCUGGGUCUGUCAGUGUUGGAGGCGGUAGGAAUCUGGUACAUAUAUGAGGAUCUGCGUCUUUCACUGUCUGAGGAGGUAGGACCUGGCUCUGGUAUGAGGAUGUGGAUCUCUCCAUAUCUGAGGAGGUAGGAUCUGAGUCUGUCCGUGUCUGAGGAGGUAGUGAGGAUCUGGGUCUGUUCAUGUCCGCGGAGGUAGGAUCUGUGGCAGGUAUAAGGAUCGGGGUCUGUUCAUGCCUGAGAAGGUAGGAUCUGUCCCAUUAGGAUUUUGAGGAUCUGGGACUGUCAGUGUCUGAAGAGAGAGUGUCUGGGUGCCGGUAUAAGGAUCUGGAUCUGUCAGUAUCUGAGGAGGUAGGAUCUGGCCCUGGUAUGAGGAUCUGAGUCUGUCAAUGUCUUAGGAGGUAGGCUCUGGUACAGGUGAGAGGAUCUGGGUCUGCCCAUGUCUGAGGAGGUAGGAAUCUGGUACAGGUAUGAGGAACUGGGUCUCUUCAUGUCUGAGAAGGUAGGACCUGGCCCUAGUUUGAGGAUCUGGGUCUUUCAAUAUCUGAGGAGGUAGGAAUCUGGUACAGGUAUGAGGAUCUGGGUCUCUUCAUGUCUGAGGAGGUAGGAUCUGGCCCUGGUAUGAGGAUCUGGGUCUGUUCAUGUGUGAGGAGGUAGGACCUAGCCCUGGUAUGAGGUUCUUGGUCUCUCCAAGUCUGAGGAAGUAGGUUCUGGGUCUGUCCAUGUCUGAGGAGGUAGGAUCUGGCAUGAGUAUGAGGAUCUGGGUCUGUUCAUGUCUGCAGAGGGAGGAUCUGGCUCAGACAUAAGGAUCUGGGUCUUUCCAUGUUUCAGAAGGUAGGAUCUGGUCUUGGUAUUAGGAUCUGGUACAGGUAGGAGGAUCUGAGUCUCUCCAUGUGUGAGAAGGUAGGAAUCUGGUACAGCUACAAGGAUCUGGGUCUGUUCAUGUCGUCAUUAUGGGUCUGUCCAGACAUCUUUCAAUAUCCAAGGAGGUAGGAAUUUGGUACAGGUAUGAGUAUUGGGUCUCUCCAUUUCUGAGGAUGUAGGAAUCUGUUACAGGCAUGGGGAUCUGGGUCUGUCAGUGUCUGAGGAGGAAGGACCUGGCCCUGGUAUGAGGAUCUGGGUCUCUCCAUGUCUGAGAAGGUAGGAUCUGGUGCACAUAUAAGGAUCUUGGUCUGUCAGUGUUGUGGAAGGUAGGAUCUGGCCCUGGUAUGAGUAUCUGGGUAUGUCAGUAUCUGAGGAGGUAGCAUCUGGCCCUGGUAUGAGGAUCUGGGUCUCUCAAUAUCUGAGGAGGUAGGAUCUCAUACAGGUAUGAGGAUCUGAGUCUUUCAAUAUCUGAGGAGGUAGGAUAUGGCACAGGUGUGAGCAUCUGGGUCUGUCUGUGUCUAAAGAGUUGGAGCUGUAUGCAGGUAUGAGGCCUUGGUUCUGCCAGUGUCUAAGGAAGUGAGGCUGGGCACAGAUAUGAGGCUCUAGGUGUGUCCAUAUCUGAGGAGGUAGGAUCUGGUACCAGUAUGAGGAUCUGAGUCUCUCCAUGUCUGAGGAGGUAGGAUCUGGUACUGGUAUGAGGUUCUGGGUCUGUCAGUAUCUGAAGAGAUAGUAGUCUGCUGCAGGUAUGAGGAUCUGGGUCUCUUCAUGUCUGAGGAGGUAGGAAUCUUGCAGGCUUGAGGAUCUGGGUCUGUCAAUGUUUAGGGAGGUAGGACCUGGCCCUGGUAUGAGGAUCUGGGUUUCUCCAUGCCUGAGGAAAUAGGAUCUGGGUCUGUCCCUGUCUAAGGGGGUAGGAUCUGGCGCAGAUGUAAAGAUCUGGGUCUUUCAAUGUCUGAGAAGGUAGGAUCUGGCCCUUUUUUGAGGAUCUGAGUCUUUCAAUAUCUGAGGAGGUAGCAAUCUGUUACAGGCAUGAGGUUCUGGGUCUGUCAAUGUCUGAGGAUCUGGGUCUCCCCAAGUCUGAGGAGGUAAGAUCUGGGUCUGUCCAUAUCUUAGGAGGUAGGAUCUGGCAUGAGUAUGAGGAUCUUGGUCUGUUCAUGUCUGAGGAGGGAGGAUCUGGUGCACAUGUAAGGAUCUGGGUCUGUCAGUGUGAGAGAUGGUAAGGUCUGGUCCUGCUAUGAGGAUCUGGAUCUGUCAGUAUCUGAGGAGGUAGGCUCUGGCCCUGGUAUGAGGAUCUGGGUCUGUCCAUGUCUGAGGAGGUAGGAUCUGGUACCAGUAUGAGGAUCGGGGUCUGUCAGUAUCUGAGGAGGUAGGAAUCUGGUACAGGUUUGAGGAUUUGGGUCUGUCUCUGUCUCAGGAGGAUGACCUCGUACAGGCAUGACUAUUUGAGUAUUGCAGUGUCUGUGGAGGUAGGAUAUGGUGUAGGUGUGAGGAUCUGGGUUUGUCCAUGGCUGAAGAGGCAGGAUCUGGUACAGGUGUGAGGAUCUGAGUCUGCUCACAUCUGAGGAGGUAGGAUCUGACCCGUUAUGAGGAUCUGAGUCUGUCAAUAUCUGAAGAGGUAGGAAUCUGGUACAGGUAUGAGGAUCUGUGUGUGUCAGCAUCUGAGGAGUUCGGAAUCUGAUACAGGUGUGAGAAUCUGCAUGUCUCUGUAUCUGAGGAGUUCAGAAUCUGAUACAGGUGUGAGGAUCUGCAUGUCUCUGUAUCUGAGGAGGUAGGAUCUCAUAGAGGUGUGAGGAUCUGCAUGUCUCUGUAUCUGAGGAGUUCAGAAUCUGAUACAGGUGUGAGGAUCUGCAUGUCUCUGUAUCUGAGGAGGUAGGAUCUCAUAGAGGUGUGAGGAUCUGCAUGUCUCUGUAUCUGAGGAGGUAGGAUCUCAUAGAGGUGUGAGGAUCUGCAUGUCUCUGUAUCUGAGGAGGUAGGAAUCUGAUACAGGUGUGAGGAUCUGCAUGUCUCUGUAUCUGAGCAGGUAGGAAUCUGAUAUAGGCGUGAGGAUCUGCGUGUCUCUGUAUCUGAGGAGGUAGGAUCUGAUACAGGUAUUAGGAUUUGGGUCUAUGUCUGAGGAAGUAGCAUCUGAUACAGGUAUUAGGACCUGGGUCUCUUUAAGUGUCUGAAGAGGUUGGAUCUGGCCCUGGUAUGAGCAUCUGGGUCUGUCAGUAUUUGAGGAGGUAGGAUCUUAUACAGGUAUGAGGAUCUGGGUCUUUCAAUGUCUGAGGAGGUAGGAUCUCAUACAGGUAUGAGGAUCUGGGUCUUUCAAUGUCUGAGGAGGUAGGAUCUGGCACAGGCAUGAGCAUCUGGGUCUGUCCAUGUCUAAAGAGUUGAAGCUGUGUGCAGGUAUGAGGCCUUGGGUCUGCCAGUGUCUGGGGAGGUGAGGCUGGGCACAGAUAUGAGACCCUGGGUCUGUCCAUAUCUGAGGAGGUAGGAUCUGGUAUGAGUAUGAGGAUCUGGGUCUGUUCGUGCCUGAGGAGGUGGGACCUGUGACAGGUAUGAGGCCCGGGGUCUGUCCGUGUCUGAGGAGGUAGGUCCUGGCACAGGUAUGAGGCCCGGGGUCUGUCCGUGUCUGAGGAGGUGGGUCCUGGCACAGGUAUGAGGCCCGGGGUCUGUCCGUGUCUGAGGAGGUGGGCCCUGGCACAGGUAUGAGGCCCUGGGUCUGCUGGUAUCUGCAGAGACAGGGCCCAACAUCUCAGGGAAGAGCCCGGUAAGCUCUUCAGUUUGUCUUGUGGCUGUGGUCAGUUCCACGUGUAGUCUGCCCUGUUGGUCUUCCCGUGUGUUGCCAGCGCCUGCCUGCUGCCUUGCUUCCUGGAGGUGGGUUGGGCCAGGGCCCUCCAAGAUGCCCCUGUGCAAGACCAGGGACAGGGUUUCCGGCAGGAGGUGGGGGGCGGGGUGUGCCGGCCCUCCCUCAGCACCUUGUCCUGUCUC